rnacentral:tRNA from 1 species
GAGGGUAUGGCUCAGCGAUAGAGUUCCUGGUUAGUAUACACAAGGUCCUGGGUUUGAUUCCUAGUACCUUCG